rnacentral:rRNA from 1 species
CCUCGGGUGGUGCAGUGGGGAAUAUUGCACAAUGGGCGCAAGCCUGCUACAGCCAUGCCGCGUGUGUGAAGAAGGCCUUCGGGUUGUAAAGCACUUUCAGCGGGGAGGAAGGCGUUAAGGUUAAUAACCUUGGCGAUUGACGUUACCCGCAGAAGAAGCACCGGCUAACUCCGUGCCAGCAGCCGCGGUAAUACGGAGGGUGCAAGCGUUAAUCGGAAUUACUGGGCGUAAAGCGCACGCAGGCGGUCUGUCAAGUCGGACGUGAAAUCCCCGGGCUCAACCGGGGAACUGCAUUCGAAACUGGCAGGCUAGAGUCUUGUAGAGGGGGGUAGAAUUCCAGGUGUAGCGGUGAAAUGCGUAGAGAUCUGGAGGAAUACCGGUGGCGAAGGCGGCCCCCUGGACAAAGACUGACGCUCAGGUGCGAAAGCGUGGGGAGCAAACAGGAUUAGAUACCCGUGUAGUC